rnacentral:rRNA from 1 species
AGUCACUGACAUUAGACUACCCCGGUAGUCCAGGGUGUAAACGCUGCAGACUUGGUGUUGGAGCCCGUUUGGGGGCAUUCAGUGCCGGAGAGAAGUUGUUAAGUCUGCUACGUUGGGAGUACGUCCGCAAGGAUAGAAACUUAAAGGAAUUGGCGGGGGAGCACCGCAACGGGAGGAGCGUGCGGUUUAAUUGGAUUCAACACCGUAAACUCACCAGGGGAGACUGUUACAUGAAGGCCGAGAUGAAGACUCUGCUAGAUUUUCAG